rnacentral:rRNA from 1 species
UUCUGGUUGAUCCUGCCAGACCUGACUGCUAUCGGAUUGAUACUAAGCCAUGCGAUCUUUGUAGUAAUACAAGGCAUACGGCUCAGUAACACGUAGUCAAUCUACCCUAUGGACGGGGAUAACCUCGGGAAACUGAGAAUAAUACCCGAUAGAUCAUUAUGCCUGGAAUGGUUUAUGAUCCAAAUGAAUUUCGCCAUAGGAUGGGACUGCGGUCUAUCAGCUUGUUGGUGAGGUAAUGGCCCACCAAGGCUAUAACAGAUACGGGCUCUGAGAGGAGAGGCCCGGAGAUGGGUACUGAGACACGGACCCAGGUCCUAUGGGGCGCAGCAGGCGAGAAAACUUUGCAAUGUGCGAAAGCACGACAAGGUUAAUCCGAGUGUUUCCUGCUAAAGGAAUCUUUUAUCAGUCAUAACACCACUGAUGAAUAAGGGGUGGGCAGGUUCUGGUGUCAGCCGCCGCGGUAAAACCAGCACCUCAAGUGGUCAGGAGGAUUAUUGGGCCUAAAGCAUCCGUAGCCGGCUUUGUAAGUUUUCGGUUAAAUCCAUAUGCUCAACAUAUGGGCUGCCGGGAAUACUGCACAGCUAGGGAGUGGGAGAGGUAGACGGUACUCCAUAGGAAGGGGUAAAAUCCUUUGAUCUAUGGAAGACCACCUGUGGCGAAGGCGGUCUACCAGAACACGUUCGACGGUGAGGGAUGAAAGCUGGGGGAGCAAACCGGAUUAGAUACCCGGGUAGUCCCAGCUGUAAACUAUGCAAACUCAGUGAUGCAUUGGCUUGUGGCCAGUGCAGUGCCGCAGGGAAGCCGUUAAGUUUGCCGCCUGGGAAGUACGUACGCAAGUAUGAAACUUAAAGGAAUUGGCGGGGGAGCACCACAAGGGGUGAAGCCUGCGGUUCAAUUGGAAUCAACGCCGGG